GAACCGUCCCUUUCUUGCCGUGAAAGCAACCAUGGCAUUCCCGGAUGCACACCGCAAAUCACCUCUCGUGCCCAAUCCGACUCCCCAGUGCCACUUUCCGGUGAGCUCGUCCCGCCAUGCGAACCCGCUCACUUCGCUGCCACGAACGAGGCUAGGAUCUGUACUCUGGGGAUGGUCAAUAAAGCUUGGAAUGCGCCGUUGUAGCUGUUGUCGUGGCAGACAGCGAUCGCUGUGCGUUUCUCCCUGUUGAGGCGAAAUGUUCGGGCGCGGUCUUGCAGGGUGUUUUACCUGCUCGAGGCUUGUGCCCGCGAACACCUGGAAGUACGUCUCGGUGUGAGCGAAGUCGCCGAAGCCAGAGCACGGGAGGUCCGUCCAAUUGCAGGCGGGGCACAGGCACGACGCGGGUUACCGGAGUCACAUGCGAGGCGUCCGGUAAUAUCGGACAAGGCAGAGUGGACGCAGUGAUGUUUGGAAGCAGUCCAGUCAGGAGAGCCUGGACUUCGGCAGAAAAGUCUGCUGGCUAAUCUGAAGGGACGAAGUGGUCUGGGUGGACAGCUUCCGGGCACGUGAGUUCUUUCAAGCAAGGCGUGUGCAGUGUCGUGCAACGGAGGUGUGGAGUUUGGGACAAGCAAAACCAACGUGCUCGAGUCGGGGAUCGUGUCAGGAACAGCAAGAAAGCUUACCUUCAAAAAAGCAUCAACUCUGAGAAGCUUGGAAAGUCGAGUGUGCAGCACAAGUCCCUGGCACACCGGCUCGCUCCAGUGCUGCACGUCAGCGGAGCUCGGGCGGCGGGUGUGCUAGCCCGAAGUUAGAACACACUGCUAUCAACCAGCGUUGAUUCGUGACUGGAUCCGCUGAAAAUACCGGCCACGAGUAGAAAACUCGGUUUGUGCUGCGUCUAAAAGCACAGACUGUAAACAAACCCGGAACUCGUGUUCGUCUUGCGCUAGUCUCAGUCUUGCAGUGUGGAGUCACUGCAGGUUCUACUAUGGUACUCCAGAGUGAAUCUCCGAGUCUUGAGCUAGUGCCCCGUGCGGCUACACCCGUCCCCGCAGUGUCCAGGUCUUGUUGUGAGGAGGCACGGCUACGUCGGUCACGGGUUAGCGCCAUCAGCUGUCGACAGACUGCAUCGGCCAAAUAGCUGUGACCAAAGGCCUCGUCAUUACAAGUCAGAUUAUCCGAGCAUAGCACACCAG
rnacentral:lncRNA from 1 species